GAUGAACGCUGGCGGCGUGCUUAACACAUGCAAGUCGAACGGAAAGGCUCCUGAUUGCUGGGGUACUCGAGUGGCGAACGGGUGAGUAACACGUGGGUGAUCUGCCCUGCACUUCGGGAUAAGCCUGGGAAACUGGGUCUAAUACCGGAUAGGACGAUGGUUUGGAUGCCAUUGUGGAAAGUUUGUCGGUGUGGGAUGAGCUCGCGGCCUAUCAGCUUGUUGGUGGGGUAAUGGCCUACCAAGGCGUCGACGGGUAGCCGGCCUGUGAGGGUGUACGGCCACAUUGGGACUGAGAUACGGCCCAGACUCCUACGGGAGGCAGCAGUGGGGAAUAUUGCACAAUGGGCGGAAGCCUGAUGCAGCGACGCCGCGUGGUGGAUGACGGCCUUCGGGUUGUAAACUCCUUUCGCUAGGGACGAAGCGCAAGUGACGGUACCUGGAGAAGAAGCACCGGCUAACUACGUG
rnacentral:rRNA from 1 species